rnacentral:rRNA from 1 species
UACGAGGGGGGCAAAUGUUGUUCGGAAUCACUGGGCGUAAAGGGAGCGUAGGCGGGUUUUUAAGUCAGGUGUUUAAUCCCGGGGCCCAAUCCCGGACAGGCACUUGAAACUGGGAAUCUUGAAUAGUGGAGAGGUCAGUGGAAUUGGGGGUGUAGCGGUGGAAUGCGUAGAGAUCCCCAAGAACACCCGUUGCGAAGGCGGCUGACUGGACACAUAUUGACGCUGAGGCUCGAAAGCAUGGGGAGCAAACAGG